UACGUAGGUGGCAAGCGUUGUCCGGAUUUACUGGGCGUAAAGCGAACGCAGGCGGACUGUUAAGUAAGAAGUGAAAGGUUGGAGCUCAACUCUGACACGGCUUCUUAUACUGGCAGUCUUGAGUCUUGGAGAGGAAAGCGGAACGACACGUGUAGCGGUGAAAUGCGUUGAUAUGUGUCGGAACACCGAUGGCGAAAGCAGCUUUCUGGACAAGUACUGACGCUGAGGUUCGAAAGCCAAGGGAGCGAACAGG
rnacentral:rRNA from 1 species